AGAGAUAAUAAGGGGCACUGUCAAUCAAACUUUUUGACAGGUGACCUUUUGACCUUUGCUAGGUGCCCUUUGACCCCUCCCCCACAGCACAUGCCUCCUUUUCUGGAAUGUGACCUUUGACCCCUCAGAUCACCCUAUGAUGCUGUCAGUUAUUAAUUAUGUUUUCAAUCAUCUGUAAUUACUUUUGACCUUUGCCAUGUGCCCUUUGACCCCUCCCCACACCCCGUGCCUCCUUUUCUGGAAUGUGACAUUUGACCCCUCAGAUCACCCUAUGAUGCUGUCAGUUAUUAAUUAUGUUUUCAAUCAUCUGUAAUUACCAUUGACCCCUCAGAUCCCCUGACCCUUGAACUCUCUUAAUUAUUUUUCUGAUAUCAAUGACUACGAGUCUCCGGUAAUUAUGUUUUCAAUCAUCUGUAAUUACCCCUGCCAUUCGUCAUUCAUGUUUUGGAUAUGAGGUAAUUUAAACCAUGGUGACACACCGCCCCGCCCAUCCCUCCGCCCUUCCUGCCCCAUCCCCACCUCUUCCCGUCCCGCCCAGCCCCGCCCCCAUCAUUAUUCAGAUUGUCCUGAUUGGUCAAACAAAAAUUCCCGCCAAAAGUAUUGACCAAUAAGGUUGUUAUUCCUAUGGAGCAAUCACAGCAAGCCUGCGAGUGAAAUGUGUAUUUAAGAGUUAGCGAGAUGUGUGAAGGACCGAGAGAACGGAGCAAUGGCUUGUGUUUCUGAGGUUGCUGAAAACCAAAGCUUCCCAUACCGGGAUUCGAACCCGGACCGUCUGGAUGAAAGCCAGAAAUCCUACGCGUUAGACCAUAUGGGAGGAUCUGUAGAAGAAGAGCACGAUGACGAGAAUCUAAAAAGGUACCGAACAAUGGAGAGCAUUCCUGAACCAAUCGCUCAAGGAGCGCUCAAGACUCAAGUCUGGCGUUUGUCAGAUGGAACUUACUUCGGAUAUGUUUUUCUUAAGGAUAUAUAUAGCGUUGCUAUGUACGUCGGAAAAACGGAUAGAUACGAUGAUGCCUCAGCUCGUUUUACUUUGAACCAUAUAGAAUGGUUUAGCUUCAGAAGACACUGCUCUGUUUUUAAUGCCUACGUCAAUUACAGAAAUACAGAAUGCAGCCCAUUUUUUUCAGGAGAACAUGAAUUUAAUUUGGAAACCUCUGAAUACAGGAAAGUCUAGGCGUUUUAAUCUCGCGCCGGUUAUGACAAGCCUCGGAUGUAAUGUAAGCCUCAGUGUCAUUCAAGAUUUAAAAUGCUAUGCAAUUGAAAAUGACCUGCACUCGUGCGAUUUCCAGGUUGUUUUUAAUUCAGAAGACUUUAAAAGAAUGAAUCGUGUCUACUUCGCAAUAAUUGACAGUCUGUUCUAUAUGAACAAAUAGAUUUUCUGAUUAUUGUCAAACAUACAAAACCAACAUUAAUUAUAUUCUUAAACAUUAAACUUUUAUAUUACAUUUUAAUACUUUUUUAGCCUAUACUUUUCUAUACUUUAGCUAAAUUACCUCUCUUUCAAGUGAGUUGAGAUGCUUACCCCACUCCUUGAGUCUAAAGAGAGGUAAGUGGUUGCUGGUGGAGUUAAGGGGCGGGAGGGUGGCGGUUUCCUGAGAGUAAGAUAUGAAUUAGUUAGAUCAAUCAGUGUAUUGAUGGGUAAAGGAACUAGUGAGCUAGCCCAUUGUUUGAUUCUCACAUGUUGCUUCAUGUGCAACUGGCUAAAAGGGAUUCCAGACUCCCAACAGAGUAUAGACUAUUGAUGAUUCAACAGCCGGGGGUAAAUGCAGUAAACCAUUUACCCAGGAUUGGUUUACAAUCCUCAGUCUAUUGUUUUUUAAUGAAUGUUCUGAUCAGAUCAGCAAAAUUUAAAACAGAGCAGUGUCUUUUGAUGUUUUGAAUCCUUUGUUAAAAAAAAAAAAAAAUGAAACACACACACACACACAAACUCACACACACCACACACCUCCCACUCUUUUCUGUGAUGUCAUAACCUGAGGUCAUCAAUCAAAAUCACUGUAUAAAAAACCCGUUGGUAAUCCACAAUUUACAUUCUGGAGACAACACAGACGCUUGAAGACCUCAAACACUUUGACGCUCCUUGAUUUCAACCGCAAUAUGGACUUUGGUGAGAGAAAAAACUUUUAAUAUGAAAUUAUCACAAUAUAUUACUUUUAUUAAAAUUACCUUUAAGUAGUUAAAUGACUGUUUCUUAUGGUUUAAUAGGAAUUUAAUAGGAAUCACUCAUCUUUCAGCUUAAUUAAUGUGAGUAGUUAACAUUGUUCUAUGUAUCCUAUGCAAAAUCAAAUGUAAGUGAUAUUUAAGACUACUUUUCUACGUAAUAUAUGAAAUAUGUAGUAUAUACAUUCAUCUUUUAUUUUAUUUUAGGAUCAGAAUGUUUCAUUGUUGAAACUGUGACAGACUGUGAUGCUGUGACAGACGAAAGUGUGCUAUAUCAUCCAUUUCAAACUUUUCAUCCGGAACCUAGUAACUACGGAUUAACCAUUCACGGUGAGUGAAACUUAAUGAAAUAUGUAAUAUAUGUAAAUAUUUAAUUUAAAAUAUUCUAACUCAUGUGAUUUCUGUUCAUUAGAAAACAGUUACAGCCCAUCAGCGUCUGACAAUCUACAAUUUGAUGAUGUUAAUUCUGUGACAAGUCAACAAUCAAAUGAUUACCGACCAACUACACCUAGAAACAGUCCGGGAUUGUCUGACAAUCUACAAUUUGAUGAUGUUAAUUCUGAUCUCCAACAACAAGAAGAAUGCGAACUGGACGACCUGUACGACUUUCGAUAUCUGAAAAGGGCCGUGGAGAUUUCGCUACGGAGGCUGGAACGUGCAGCUGCAAGCAGAUCACGGGAGGAUUAUAGGUCGGCUAUACCUUUGUUUACAGAACGUGUAAUGCUCUUGGUUAGACAUUGUGUUGAUGAUAUAGAUAAUAAUGUCGCAGAAACGCCCCGGUUGUGAUUCUUUGUUAAAUAAGAAUAAAGCUAAAAAAAUCCAACAACUCGCCUUAUUCAAAUGAAACAAACAAUAACCCACAUUCAUUAAUCAGUGAACCAAGUACCUCAAACCUACAAACAAAUCAUGUAGAACACAACACAGCUCUGAACCCUUUUCUGUUAGAAAUGGUUAAUGAGAUUAAUGGUAGUAAUGAAAGGUUGACUUCUAAUAAUGAACACAGCUCUGAAAUUGUAUCUAAUCUAGAAAAUACAUCAGAAACACCAUACAAUUUGUUUUCGGGAUUAAGCGAAUGCUUAACCAACAUACAAAAUGCAUUAAUAGAACACAACCCAACUCUGAACCCUUUUCUGUUAGAAAUGGUAAAUGAGAUUAAUGAGGUUAACGAAAGAUUGGGGUCUAUUGAUGAACACAGGGAUCAUGAAUUAGCUUCUAAUCUUGAAAAUAUGUCAGAAAAUCUAUCCAUCAUUCAAACCGCUCUAACGCAGCACAACACAUGCACAGCUCUGAACCCUUUUCUAAUGGAAAUGAUAAAUGAGAUGAAUGAAAGCAUGACAGAACCACAACCUUGUGUCGCCACUGUACCAUCCCCUAUAAAUGAUUCGUUUGAAACAUCUCAGGAAUUAUUACAACAACUAAACCAGAGUCUCUUGAGAUUAAAUGAAAUUCUUGCAAACAUGGGUCAGGAUUCACACAUUUUACCAAGUAGUCCUGUUAACGAGAAUGUUUCAAAUAGCCCUUCUCCAUCUACUGAUGAAAUGGAGGAUAUCCAUACACCCAACAGCUGUAAUGAGCAACAGCCGGAAAUACAUCAGAUGCCUAGUGUGAGUGAGGGAGAGCAAAUGGGAUUUGGGAGAGAUGAUCAACCCGGACAUGUUUUAGAUCCAAACAUAGUUAUAAAUCGUAUAGACAACUUCAAUACAACAGAAAUUAGACGGAGGAUAAACUUUUCCUCAUUAGGAAACGUUGAUUCAUUUGGGGAU